rnacentral:rRNA from 1 species
CCUACGGGUGGCAGCAGUGGGGAAUAUUGGGCAAUGGGCGCAAGCCUGACCCAGCAACGCCGCGUGAAUGAAGAAGGCUUUCGGGUUGUAAACUUCUUUUCUGGGGGACGAACAAAUGACGGUACCCCAGGUAUAAGCCACGGCUAACUACGUGCCAGCAGCCGGGGUAAUACGUAGGGGGCAAGCGUUAUCCGGAUUUAUUGGGAGUAAAGGGCGGGCAGGCGGGGAAGCAAGUCAGAUGUGAAAACUCAGGGCUCAACCCUGGGCCUGCAUUUGAAACUGUGUUGCUAGAGUGCUGGAGAGGGGAGCAGAAUUCCGGGUGUAGCGGUGAAAUGCGUAGAUAUACGGAGGAACACCAGUGGCGAAGGCGGAUUGCUGAACAGUAACUGACGUUGAGGUACGAAAGCGUGGGGAGCAAACAGGAUUAGAUACCCUUGUAGUC